rnacentral:rRNA from 1 species
AGUGAACGCUGGCGGUAGGCCUAACACAUGCAAGUCGAACGGCAGCACAGUAAGAGCUUGCUCUUACGGGUGGCGAGUGGCGGACGGGUGAGGAAUACAUCGGAAUCUACUUUUUCGUGGGGGAUAACGUAGGGAAACUUACGCUAAUACCGCAUACGACCUACGGGUGAAAGCAGGGGAUCUUCGGACCUUGCGCGAUUGAAUGAGCCGAGGUCGGAUUAGCUAGUUGGCGGGGUAAAGGCCCACCAAGGCGACGAUCCGUAGCUGGUCUGAGAGGAUGAUCAGCCACACUGGAACUGGGACACGGUCCAGACUCCUACGGGAGGCAGCAGUGGGGAAUAUUGGACAAUGGGCGCAAGCCUGAUCCAGCCACAGCGCGUGGGUGAAGAAGGCCUUCGGGUUGUAAAGCCCUUUUGUUGGGAAAGAAAAGCAGCAGGUUAAUACCCCGCUGUUCUGACGGUACCCAAAGAAUAAGCACCGGCUAACUUCGUG